GACUAAACAGCCCCUUAUUGGGGAGGUCUCUUUUUAGACCUCCAAGAUCAAACUCUUGGCUGUUUGUCACUUCAUGGUAAGAGGAUGAAGCAUGCAGGAGGGCCUCUUGAGCUGCAGUAAAAGGCUGCUUCCCAUGAAUCCACGUAAAACGAGAACCAAAAGUUUUGAAUUUUCUGCACAACAUCAGGGCUUGGAUGUUGAAUAUUUGCUGAGGCCCCUACAGUGUUGCAAUUAAAAGUCGCCUUCUUUGACUUGGAAUUGAAAGUCUGACUUUACAAGUUAUUUCAUCAGAUCCCAAAGAAACUAACUGCCAUUUCUAUCACUGAAGUCUCAAUAAACAUCACUGUGCAAUGGCCUAGCGACCAGUGGGAGGAGUGUCUGUCCCACGAAUUCCUACCACAUCCAGAAUAAAGAAGUGGGAAUAUGGUCGAAAUUUUCCUUUGUUUCUCCCAGAAAAAAAAAAAAAAAAGGUAGUUUCCACUGAGCAGUUAGCUUGUUUUUGUCUUAUGGACAGUGAAUCGUGUAACCAACCAUGUUUCCUUCUUUGUUUUGGCUGUUAGGUAGCUCACAACUAAUUGGGAUCCAUCUCGAUCAACUCCAUUAAACUC